AGCCUCUUCAACAAGUUUCAACUUGCUGUUCCUCGACCUUUCCCUUCCUUUCUAACCAUCUAUAUUAUAAUCUAUGUGUGUGUAUGUGUGUGUGUGUGUGAGAGAGAGAGAGAGAGAGAGAGAGAGAGAGAGAGAGAGAGAGAGAGAGAGAGACUGACUUAUUAACACUAUUGCACACGUGGACGCGACAUACACGUCACUAUAGUUGUCUGGUCAAAAAGCACAGCUUCUGAUUGAUGUGACUCGCAUCACUAGGAGAAAAAAUUCACCAAAAAUUUUGUAAUUCUCAUUGACGCAUGAUACUUUGUCUGUAGACAGGCUAGCACAUGUCAGCUUGAGGUAAGCUGCUAGACCCUUCUUGCUGGGAAAUUUUCCUGGGUGACUGGUGACGCAAACAAAAAAUCUCUUCAGUUGACUCUCUCGAGCGGUUGCAGACGGAUUAGUGUGUGGCGGGGGGCAGGGUUACCAAAUAUUUUUUUCUUUCAAGCCUAACUUAUCAACUACACAGGUAACUCUCAAUUUACGUGAGUAUUGUGUCCUUGAAGAGGUCACGUAAAUCAAAAACAAUGUAAAUCAAACAAGAGGUAGGUUUCUAUCAAAAAAUAAAUAUUCACUUCAUUCAGUGGAGAGAGAGAGAGAGAGAGAGAGAGAGAGAGAGAGAGAGAGAGAGAGAGAGAGAGAGAGAGAGAGAGAGAGAGAGAGAGA